rnacentral:lncRNA from 1 species
CUUGUCUAGUUAAUUUUAUAAUUAUAUUAAAUUAUACAGUCCGCAUAAGUACUUAACACGGCUAGUAAAUCUGUGUAAACACCACGUACAUUUUGCUGUUAUGCUCCUUAUCAUGAUUACUAGCCAGGUCAAAUUUUGCCUCUUUUCCGAAACCUCUCUUGAACACUCUUCCUCUUUGGUACUGCAGUAGUACUGCCACUCAGUACCCUAACACCUGACACUUAAAAUGUAUUUCACUCACAUCAGAACCCUGAUAUCUGGCACCUAGUGGUGCUCGGGAAAUGUUUGCUGAAUGCAACUGUGUUAUACCAGUUCUGUUUAGGGGAAGUAACUCUGUGUUCUGUUUAGGGGAAGUAACUCUGGCUAGUUAUUUGUGUAGCUACUACUCAAGAGGAAUGGAGGGACAAGAUCAGUGUGGCCCCCAAGCUUCCGUCUUCUUUGUCUCCUGGCUUCUUUGCCAUUGUGUCACCUCCCCAUCCUCAGGCUGUUAUUCUUAUGGCCACUUCUGUAAAGGAAGGUCAUAGCAAAACAGCUUCAGCCUUGCCUUAGCUUGCCUCCUGAAUCCUCAGCUUUGCCGACCUGAAUUCUAAUCACUGCUUUUUAGGGGUCAGAGGAAUGGAGGCAAACAAACAGAUCAGUAUGGGGUUGGGAGGAGUCAAAGCUGUAUUUGCAAGGUUACUCCAUUUUGACAGCAACAGGACUGGUAUUUGAAGGCAAUUUUUUUUUUUUGAGACGGAGUCUUGCUCUCUUGCCCAGGCUGGAGUGCAGUGGUGCAAUCUUGGCUCACUGCAAGCUCCGCCUCCCAGGUUCAUGCCAUUCUUCUGCCUCAGCCUCCCGAGUAGCUGGGACUACAGGCGUGUGCCACCAGGCCGGCUAAUUUUUGUAUUUUUUUUUUUUUUAGUAGAGACGGGGUUUCACCUUGUUAGUCAGGAUGGUCUUGAUCUCCUGACCUCGUGAUCCGCCCACCUCGGCCUUCCAAAGUGCUGGGAUUACAGGCGUGAGCCACCACGCCCAGCCUGAAGGCAACUUUUAUACAGUAUUAUGCUAUCCUUUGGUUUACAUGUUUCUGCUAGAUGGGAUUGCUAUGCCAACACACCCCAUGUGUGGAACUGUGUCUCAGUUCCCACCCUCAGCUCUACUAAGGUGUCCCCCUUGCACUUUCCUCCCUCCAGUCCCUUGGGCUAUUGGCACUGUCACUCAGGUGUCCAGGCAGCUGACAUGGGUGGUAGAAGCAGGCAUUAUCCCGUUGUCUCAGUUGGGCUUAUACAGGGACUCCUGCUUGGUCUUUGGGAGUUCAGAUGCUAAAAAGUCCCCUGUCAAGAAUAAGGAGGGCCUUGACACUGAAGGGAUGAGGCAGAUUUUGCUCCAGAUGGUCUUUGGAAAAAGGAAUUAGUACAGCCAGAUUGGAAAGUUUUAGUGAUUGAGAAAGAAGUACUGAUUUUGAUGAAUCAUUUCCACAGUCCCUGCCCUAUUUCUUGGUCUUGUCUCUGUUUGGAGGACUGAGUGAAAGUGUCCAUCCAGCUUCCUCCCAUCGGUGCUAACAAACUGCACUGGCUGGAUUUUGGUACCACAUUCCCACGGUGGUAUGUCUUAGGUCUCAGGCCAGCGUCCAAAGAGACCAUAUAUUAUUGUAAUUGACUAUUUUAUUGAGACCCUUAUAAUCAUACCUACUUUACCCAGUAAAGCAAUUCUUGCUUUCUUAUUCACAAGCUUUUUCCGGAUAGUAGGUGAUUACAAUAUGUCCCUCAUCUAAGCCUCCACCUAUGAUUUCCAAACAGUAAAGUUCCUCAGCUGAAUAUUAGUUAUCCCUCUUGUUUUUUUUAAAAGUGACAUUAGGAAAUGGCUAAACAUUUUAUUGCCUUCUUAUUGUCAUCUGCUUUUCCUCCACCCACCUCCUGGGUAGGUAC